rnacentral:rRNA from 1 species
GUCUGCAACUCGACUACAUGAAGCUGGAAUCGCUAGUAAUCGCGGAUCAGAAUGCCGCGGUGAAUACGUUCCCGGGUCUUGUACACACCGCCCGUCACACCAUGGGAGUCAGUAACGCCCGAAGCCGGUGACCCAACCUAUUCUGGAGGGAGCCGUCGAAGGCGGGACGGAUGACUGGGGUGAAGUCGUAACAAGGUAUC